rnacentral:rRNA from 1 species
CGCGGUAAUUUGACCGUGCGAAGGUAGCAUAAUCAAUAGUCUCUUAAUUGGAGGCUGGAAUGAAUGGUCGUACAAGAAGCAGUCUGUCUUUUUUAUAAGAAUUGAAUUUAACUUUUAAGUGAAAAGGCUUAAAUUUUUUGGGGGGACGAUAAGACCCUAUAAAACUUUACAUGAGUUAGCUAGUUUUUAAAUUUAGGUGUUAAUAAGAAUUAUCUUAAUCUUGUUACGUUGGGGCGACGAAAAUAUAAAUUGUAACUGUUUGUAGGUUAAAAUAAAAGUAUUUAGAUUAGUUGAUCCUUUAUUAAGGACUAUAAGAUUAAGUUACUUUAGGGAUAACAGCGUGAUUUUUUCUGAGAGUUCUUAUCGACGAAAGUAGUUGCGACCUCGAUGUUGAAUUAAAGUUUCGUCAAGGUGUAGAAG